rnacentral:rRNA from 1 species
GAGAAUAGGCCCAAGCGACUGUUUACCAAAAACAUAGGUUUCUGCUAAGUCGCAAGACGAUGUAUAGGAGCUGACGCCUGCCCGGUGCUGGAAGGUUAAGGGGAUCUGUUAGAGCAAUCGAAGCAGUGAACUUAAGCCCCAGUAAACGGCGGCCGUAACUAUAACGGUCCUAAGGUAGCGAAAUUCCUUGUCGGGUAAGUUCCGACCCGCACGAAAGGCGUAACGAUUUGGGCACUGUCUCAACAACAGACUCGGUGAAAUUGUAAUUCCGGUGAAGAUGCCGGAUACCUGCGACAGGACGGAAAGACCCCAUGGAGCUUUACUGUAGCUUGACAUUGGGUCUUGGUACUACAUGUACAGGAUAGGUGGGAGGCUUUGAAACCAGGACGCCAGUUUUGGCGGAGCCAUCCUUGGGAUACCACCCUUGUAGUACUGGGACUCUAACCAUAGGCCAUGAAUCUGGUCUUGGGACACUGUCAGGUGGGCAGUUUGACUGGGGCGGUCGCCUCCCAAAAGGUAACGGAGGCGCUCAAAGGUUCUCUCAGUACGGUCGGAAAUCGUACGUAGAGUGUAAAGGCAAAAGAGAGCUUGAUUGCAAGACAUACAGGUCGAGCAAGGAUGAAAAUCGGACUUAGUGAUCCGGUGGUUCUGCGUGGAAGGGCCAUCGCUCAACGGAUAAAAGCUACCCUGGGGAUAACAGGCUUAUCUCCCCCAAGAGUCCACAUCGACGGGGAGGUUUGGCACCUCGAUGUCGGCUCAUCACAUCCUGGGGCUGUAGUAGGUCCCAAGGGUUGGGCUGUUCGCCCAUUAAAGUGGUACGCGAGCUGGGUUCAGAACGUCGUGAGACAGUUCGGUCCCUAUCCGUCGCAGGCGUAGGAAAUUUGAGAAGACCUGUCCUUAGUACGAGAGGACCGGGAUGGACG